UAGGUGGGGGGUCCUCGGGCAUCUUCUUUUAACCCCUUACGACCUACAAUAUUUUAAUGCUUCUUUAUAAAAUUUUGCACGGGUGGGGCAUUACCUAGCCAGUUUCGAUGGUUCCAUCCUGAAGCUUCAGCAUUGGAGCCUAUAGCGGCAAGAGGGGAAAUAGACUUGCUGAGAUAUCAGUUGGAGCAGAUAGAGAAAAAUAAUGGCAAGUUGAUAAAAGAGC
rnacentral:lncRNA from 1 species